rnacentral:rRNA from 1 species
GACGAACGCUGGCGGCGUGCUUAACACAUGCAAGUCGAACGGAAAGGCCCUGCUUUUGUGGGGUGCUCGAGUGGCGAACGGGUGAGUAACACGUGAGUAACCUGCCCUUGACUUUGGGAUAACUUCAGGAAACUGGGGCUAAUACCGGAUAGGAGCUCCUGCUGCAUGGUGGGGGUUGGAAAGUUUCGGCGGUUGGGGAUGGACUCGCGGCUUAUCAGCUUGUUGGUGGGGUAGUGGCUUCCCAAGGCUUUGACGGGUAGCCGGCCUGGGAGGGUGACCGGCCAAAUUGGGAUUGAGAGCCGGCCCAGACCCCUAGGGGGGGAAGGAGGGGGGAAUAUUGAACAAGGGGCGGAGGCUGGAGGAAGCAACGCGGGUGGGGGGAGGACGGCUUUCGGGUUGUAAACGGGUUUGGCUUGGGACGAAGGGGGGGUGAGGGUAAUGGGUAAGAAGCACCGGCUAACUACGUG